AAGAGUGGGAGCCGAAUGGGAUGUGAGAAAAUGGAAGAAUGAGAUAGACAAAGAAGUGAAAUGUGUGGGACUGAAUGAAUGGAAGAAUGAGAUGGAAAGAAAGAAGACCCUGGAAUGGUACAAGGAGAAAGGGGCCCCGAGGUAUGAAAGGUGGUAUGAUGGAAGCCUGGGCGGUGAUCUUCUCUUCCGAGCGAGGGCACAGUGUAUGGAUGUGAAUGCAAGGAGUUACAGGUGGUCUGAGUCCCGCAGCAAAGUGUGCCAGAUGUGUGACAUGGGAGAGGAUGAGACGGUGGAACAUGUGGUGCUGGAGUGUGUGCAGUAUGCCAGAGACAGGAAUGAGAUGAUGCAAGUGAUACUGACUGAGUUAGGGCAUGAUAGGAAUGAAAGAGUGGAGAAGACAGGAAAGGAAUGGAUGGUGUUGUUGCUGGGACUGUGUAGAGAGGCCAAUGAAAGGAUGAUUGAGGCGGUGAAAGAGUUUCUGGAGAGAAUGUGGCGUGCCAGGUGUAUGAACAAUUAGGAUAGAGGAUGCUGUUCGUUUCUCUUUUUUUUUUUUUUUCCCUUUCUACAGGAGUUGCCGAUCCAAAGGCCUGGCUCAGGAGUGAUCCUGUGCCACCUGUACCAUCAAGAUCAAGAUCAAGAGUCUGCGUACAAAAUUGCAUCGGAGGGAUUGAUAGAGGCAGCCACAAUUAUCCAUCAUCAUCGGCGACACCAUGGCUCUUGAGAAGACCUCCUCUUCUCUCUUCCCAUCUCUUCCUCCUCCUAGCCCAACCAAGCCUAAUUCUCUCUCUCUCUCUCUCUCUCUCUCUCUCUCUCUCUCUCUCUCUCUCUCUCUCUCUCUCUCUCUCUCUCUCUCUCUCUCUCUCUCUCUCUCUCAGACAGACAGACCUCGAUGACAGCGUGGUGAGCGAGGAGGGGGAGUCAACCAGCAGAGUAGGGGAGCAUGACCCCUACUUUGAACCAGUGGUGACCUUGCUGGAGGUCUUCGUGGUUAGUGAUGAUGACCAGGAGGAGGAAAUGAUAAGACUGAGUUUCGAGGUCAGGUCAGGCAGUACAAGCUGUUUCUUUAUCACACCUCUGAGUCGCCCCCACAGUGGAAGGAACGGGGCAUGGAGGCCAUUAAGAUUCUGAGGAACAAGCAGAAGAAGGCUGUGGAGUUUGUUCAGUGGCAGAAUUAAUGCCAGUGGUUGAGUUCAGAUCCUCCAAGACACACAGACACACACACAGUAGCCCCUCCACCUCCCCACAGCCCUCCACAGCCCCUGACACAGCAUCUGACACAGGCCCUUCACAGACCACCACAUACCUCACACAUACAUAAGAACAUAAGAACAUAAGAAAUAAGGGAAGCUGCAAGAAGCGACCAGGCUUACACGUGGCAGUCCCUGUAUGAAAUAUACCUACCUAUUUCCAUCUGUUAUCCCCAUCCAUAAACUUGUCUAAUCUUCUCUUAAAGCUCUCUAGUGUCCUAACACUAACAACAUGAUUACUGAGUCCGUUCCACUCAUCUACCACUCUUUUUGAGAACAAAUUUUUUCCUAUCCAUCCUAAACCCAAAUUUUUCAAGCUUGUACCCAUUAUUUCUUGUUCUACCCUGGUUGCUGAUCCCAAGAAUUUUGCCUACAUCCCCCUUGUUAUAACCCUUAUACCACUCAAAGACUUCUAUCAGGUCCCCUCUUAACCUACGUAUCUCUAAAGAAUGUAAAUUUAACAGCUUCAACCUCGCCUCGUAAGGAAUACUCCUCAUCCCCUGUAUCCUUUUAGUCAUUCUCCUCUGUACUGAUUCUAAUAGACCUAUAUCUUUCCUGUAAUGUGGGGACCAGAACUGCACAGCGUAGUCUAGAUGAGGUCUGACCAGCGCCAAAGUAUAACUUUAAUACUACUUCCGGCCUUCUACUUUUAACACUCCUAAAAAUCACACACACCACAGGAGCCUCACAAACAGUCUCACAGCCUUCACAAGCAGCCCCACACUCCACCACAGACACACCAGACCCACAGCCCUUCACCUCACCCACUUCCCAGCCCCCAACGCCCCCCAGCCACCACAAAUGAAGUGAAAGGAAGGGACUGUGGCUUCACCCAGCCAGCCAGGACAGCCUACAGAGAGGGGGUAGUCCCAGUCAAGUCACAAAAUAUAGGAUUGGUUCUUCCUACAGUUUGAAGUCAAUGAUUGGACAGGCCAGACAGCUUAGUGGCAGAGCUGCAGGUGGCCCUUGUAAGCUUCCUGGUGGCACAGAUGUAGGACGGCUGGGAGCAGUGGAGGUGCCUGAUGGGGCAGCUGUGCCGGGCAGAGGGGCUGCUACUGCUGCUGCUGCUGCUGGGGAGAGCCACACUUGUAUGCCCCACAGUUACUGACCUUGACUCAAACACCAUCACGGCACUCUCUUCCCUGUUAAACUUGCCGGGAUCCAUUGUAAUGUAAGGGGUAUUGAAUGUGAGCGAUGAAAUGAGAAGGUAGUGGUAAGGGGGAAAAAAGUACAGGGGAGCGCAGGAGAGACACCUCUCUCCACUGUGCCUGACAGCGCAGGAGAGACACCUCUCUCCACUGUGCCUGACAGUCUCUCAGUGAUUGAAAGACUGAGCAUAACAUCUUCAGGACUGAGCAUAACAUCUUCAGGGCACGUGGUAACACGGAGAGGAAGUGGAAGAAACCUUGGGACGCUCCCAUAACUCAGGAGCAAGAAAUACACCUUACUGGAAACCUUGUGACUGACAGGUGGCGGUGACUGCAGGAACCAAUUCAGAUGUCUGUCUUGUGUUGGCGAACGUCCUGUCUGCAGUCAGGCCAGUAGUGCCAUGUCGCAGGGUGUGACAUCAGGUGAAGAGCCAAAUGGAGAGUGUCUGCAGCCAGUACUGGGUGUGCUGAUGCUGUACAAGUGUCGAGCCAGGUGCCACAGCACAUGUCAGCUGACUCCACUAGUGUAGUGUCUCUAGUCCAGGAUGCACUGCUGUGUACGACUUGUAAAUAUUUGUGACUGUA